GAGGGCAUAGCUCAGUGGCAGAGUGGGUGCCUAGCAUGCACAAGGCCCUGGGUUCAGUCCCCAGUACCUCCA
rfam:Camelus ferus unplaced genomic scaffold scaffold313, whole genome shotgun sequence.